GACGAACGCUGGCGGCGUGCCUAAUACAUGCAAGUUGAGCGCUGAAGGUUGGUACUUGUACCGACUGGAUGAGCAGCGAACGGGUGAGUAACGCGUGGGGAAUCUGCCUUUGAGCGGGGGACAACAUUUGGAAACGAAUGCUAAUACCGCAUAAAAACUUUAAACACAAGUUUUAAGUUUGAAAGAUGCAAUUGCAUCACUCAAAGAUGAUCCCGCGUUGUAUUAGCUUGUUGGUGAGGUAAGGGCUCACCAAGGCGAUGAUACAUAGCCGACCUGAGAGGGUGAUCGGCCACAUUGGGACUGAGACACGGCCCAAACGCCUACGGGAGGCAGCAGUAGGGAAUCUUCGGCAAUGGACGAAAGUCUGACCGAGCAACGCCGCGUGAGUGAAGAAGGUUUUCGGAUCGUAAAACUCUGUUGGUAGAGAAGAACGUUGGUGAGAGUGGAAAGCUCAUCAAGUGACGGUAACUACCCAGAAAGGGACGGCUAACUACGUG
rnacentral:rRNA from 1 species